rnacentral:rRNA from 1 species
AGCAGCCGCGGUAAUUCCAGCUCCAAUAGCGUAUAUUAAAGUUGUUGCAGUUAAAAAGCUCGUAGUUGAAUUUCGGGAUCAAGUCGUCGGUCGUGCUUAGGUACGUACUGGCGUCAUUGAUUUCUCCCUUCUGACGAACCAUGAUGUCAUUAAUUUGGUGUUAUGGGAAAUCAGGACUGUUACUUUGAAAAAAUUAGAGUGUUUAAAGCAGGCUCACGCUUGAAUACAUUAGCAUGGAAUAAUGAAAUAGGACGUUCGAUCCUAUUUUGUUGGUUUUAGGAUCAACGUAAUGAUUAAUAGGGAUAGUUGGGGGCAUUAGUAUUCAAUUGUCAGAGGUGAAAUUCUUGGAUUUAUUGAAGACUAACUACUGCGAAAGCAUUUGCCAAGGAUGUUUUCAUUAAUCAAGAACGAAAGUUAGGGGAUCGAAGACGAAUCAGAUACCGUCGUAGUCUUAACCAUAAACUAUGCCGACUAGGGAUCGGAUGAUGUUAAUUUUUUAAUGACUCAUUCGGCGCCUUAC